AUUCACACAAUCAUUCAGAUUCAAAUGGUAUAGAGCAGUCAAGCGUCCAAUUGAGUGGGGCAAUGCCUUCAAGUAUUUGCAUCCUUCCAAAUUCAAGUGACGCAAGGAUGGCAACUGUCCAUCAGAAAUAAGGGCUAGUUUGGUACUCUGGAAGCUACGAGACUUAUGGAUUUUUUUUUCUUAUUCAUUUAAACUUUAUUGUCUAAGCGUCCGGAGUUAUGCUUGCAUGACUUUCGGUUAGAUAAUAAAUUUUCUUGAAAGAAAGAAAUCCCUGAUGCGGUUUAUUGUAUUUCGAUACAAUUAAUCUACGUGUAUGUAGAUCUUAAAAAAAAAAAAACUAACUCAGAGUAGUCAAUUGUGUAAUGA